AUGGGGAAGCAAAAGCUCACCAUAAAGACCGAGGAAGAGUCAAAUCCUCGUGAGAAGUACAUAACCUGGACUGACGAGGCGACAAGGUUUAUGCUUGAUUGGUAUAUUGAGCUUCGUAAGGACAAACCUGCAACUCUCAAGUUCAAGAAACAACACCACCUGCACUGUGUUAAUGCUCCGAAUGGCAAGUUUUCUCUCGGUGUCACUCAAACCCAAGUGGACCGACACUCUCCUUCAUGCAAGGAGAAGUGGGGUUGGGUGCGUCGCCCCAUGGCCAAUAGUGGCAAUGGCUUUGACAUGAUUAAUUUCACAUUCACACUUUCUGAGUCAGAAAAGCAAAACCUAAACUCCCAUGUUGAUGGCUCUCUAGCAACUGACCAAACCACUGCCAAUGUGGAUGAUGACAGUGAUGACAGUGAGGAAGUGAGGGAACUUGAGGCCAAUCUAAUUCCAGUAGACAGCGAUGAAGCUGACUCCGAUACUAUUAAUCGUCACAGUCCUAAAGUUGACUUGGAAGGCAAUUCUUUAAACAAGAAGUGCAAGCAUGUGUCAUCUUCACCUUCCAAGAGGCCAACUAAGAGGAACGCAAAAAAGAAGGGCAAGAUAUCUAAUGUUGAUAUGGCAGCCAGUAUCAAGAAGCUAGUUGACUCUCUUGCAUCUCCUAUUGUUUCUGUGCAACCAAUGCCACCUACCGAUUCAUCUGCAAACCUUUGGAAGCGGAUAAAUGCCCUUAGCAUACUAGCUAAGGAUAAACUUGAGAUUGUAGCAUAUCUAUCCAAGCAAGGCCAAGACAUCUUCCAUAGUUGUCUGAACUAUGCUGAUGAAACAAUUCUUGGAUAGUGGGUCCGUAGCUUCUUCGAGCCUCUGUUUCAAGAAGAUGGUGGCAACGGUGGAUCUGCAACUGCUCACUGA
rnacentral:rRNA from 1 species